rnacentral:tRNA from 1 species
GCUCCUAUAGUUCAAUGGAUAGAACAGUAGCCUUCUAAGCUACGGAUCCAGGUUCGAUCCCUGGUGGGGGUA